GACGAACGCUGGCGGCGUGCUUAACACAUGCAAGUCGAACGGAAAGGCCCUGCUUUUGUGGGGUGCUCGAGUGGCGAACGGGUGAGUAACACGUGAGUAACCUGCCCUUGACUUUGGGAUAACUUCAGGAAACUGGGGCUAAUACCGGAUAGGAGCUCCUGCUGCAUGGUGGGGGUUGGAAAGUUUCGGCGGUUGGGGAUGGACUCGCGGCUUAUCAGCUUGUUGGUGGGGUAGUGGCUUACCAAGGCUUUGACGGGUAGCCGCCCUGAGAGGGUGACCGGCCACAUUGGGACUGAGAUACGGCCCAGACUCCUACGGGAGGCAGCAGUGGGGAAUAGUGCACAAUGGGCGGAAGCCUGAUGCAGCAACGCCGCGUGCGGGAUGACGGCCUUCGGGUUGUAAACCGCUUUCGCCUGUGACGAAGCGUGAGUGACGGUAAUGGGUAAAGAAGCACCGGCUAACUACGUG
rnacentral:rRNA from 1 species